rnacentral:rRNA from 1 species
GAACGAUGAUGCCCAGCUUGCUGGGCGGAUUAGUGGCGAACGGGUGAGUAAUACGUGAGUAACCUGCCCUUGACUCUGGGAUAAGCCUGGGAAACUGGGUCUAAUACUGGAUACUACCUCUUACCGCAUGGUGGGUGGUGGAAAGGGUUUUACUGGUUUUGGAUGGGCUCACGGCCUAUCAGCUUGUUGGUGGGGUAAUGGCUCACCAAGGCGACGACGGGUAGCCGGCCUGAGAGGGUGACCGGCCACACUGGGACUGAGACACGGCCCAGACUCCUACGGGAGGCAGCAGUGGGGAAUAUUGCACAAUGGGCGGAAGCCUGAUGCAGCGACGCCGCGUGAGGGAUGACGGCCUUCGGGUUGUAAACCUCUUUCAGUAGGGAAGAAGCGAGAGUGACGGUACCUGCAGAAGAAGCGCCGGCUAACUACGUGCCAGCAGCCGCGGUAAUACGUAGGGCGCAAGCGUUGUCCGGAAUUAUUGGGCGUAAAGAGCUCGUAGGCGGUUUGUCGCGUCUGCUGUGAAAGCCCGGGGCUCAACCCCGGGUCUGCAGUGGGUACGGGCAGACUAGAGUGCAGUAGGGGAGACUGGAAUUCCUGGUGUAGCGGUGAAAUGCGCAGAUAUCAGGAGGAACACCGAUGGCGAAGGCAGGUCUCUGGGCUGUUACUGACGCUGAGGAGCGAAAGCAUGGGGAGCGAACAGGAUUAGAUACCCUGGUAGUCCAUGCCGUAAACGUUGGGCACUAGGUGUGGGGGACAUUCCACGUUUUCCGCGCCGUAGCUAACGCAUUAAGUGCCCCGCCUGGGGAGUACGGCCGCAAGGCUAAAACUCAAAGGAAUUGACGGGGGCCCGCACAAGCGGCGGAGCAUGCGGAUUAAUUCGAUGCAACGCGAAGAACCUUACCAAGGCUUGACAUUCACCGGACCGCCCCAGAGAUGGGGUUUCCCUUCGGGGCUGGUGGACAGGUGGUGCAUGGUUGUCGUCAGCUCGUGUCGUGAGAUGUUGGGUUAAGUCCCGCAACGAGCGCAACCCUCGUUCUAUGUUGCCAGCACGUGAUGGUGGGGACUCAUAGGAGACUGCCGGGGUCAACUCGGAGGAAGGUGGGGAUGACGUCAAAUCAUCAUGCCCCUUAUGUCUUGGGCUUCACGCAUGCUACAAUGGCCGGUACAAAGGGUUGCGAUACUGUGAGGUGGAGCUAAUCCCAAAAAGCCGGUCUCAGUUCGGAUUGAGGUCUGCAACUCGACCUCAUGAAGUCGGAGUCGCUAGUAAUCGCAGAUCAGCAACGCUGCGGUGAAUACGUUCCCGGGCCUUGUA